AAGAGAGGAAGCAUUCUCUCUCUUUGAAUAAAAAAAUCCUCACUUCAUUGCAUAGUGCACAGAACAGCUCCUUGACUUAAAAAACCCAGCUUGAAAAAAUCUGACCUGAACAAACAGGUAGGAAAAUAGAUGCACAGAAAGAUCAUAAAUCCCCCAUGUGAGAGGUGUCUUCCCUAUUAUCUGGAAGAAAGGAGCAUCUUUGCCUUUGAAUACAAAGGAUGCCAAGAAGAAUCUGAAUGGCUAGGACUUAUGCAGCCAGAGGCCCUGAGGAGGGUCAAGGAAAACUUUCCUUCCUUACACCUUGGUAGAGCUUUCUGGACUUGAAACUCCUCCAAGAGAGACAGCUUCCUCAACUCCUGCCCUUAUCAAGAACCACUGCUGCAUAGUAAUGACCAGAAGGCUCCAGUUACACCCUUCCUGCUACAACUUGAGAGCAUGUGGCUGAGUUCUGGCUACAGCCACAUGUACACCUGAUAUAAAAUGCUUGUGUCAUCUUCUACUCUGUCUUUCCCUGUCCAUUUGUCUGGAAAUGAAGGCCCAUGAGAUGGCAGAAGGAAAACAAAAAAAGAAUACUGAAGCUGAUUCCCUCACUGCCCAUGUGGGUCUGACUCUCUGAGUCACCAUGUGGAGUGGCUCCUCCUGGGAAAGCAAGAUAACCAGGAGCAUCUACCGCAGAAUCCUGCGCGCAUGUAAGAAAUACAUCUCCUUGUGUUACGCCACUGAGAUUUUGGAGCUACUUUAGUCACAGAAAUUAGUCUAUUUUGACUUACCCAGUAAUUGCUCAGACUAAGACAUAUUCUUUUAAAUGAUCCAGGAAGUCCUUCAAAUGUGCCAGAACAGUCAUCAUCUGAGAAUUAUUUACUAGUUAGGCACUUCAAAUAAAUGGCUUUGGAGCAACUCCUCCCAGGAGGAGUUCCUCCCUGGAAUGUGACAUGCUUUCUGAAGAAAUGAUAUAAAAGUUGGAGAAGACAGAAGAUUUUUGAAUUCUACUGUACACA